UACGUAGGGGGCGAGCGUUGUCCGGAUUUAUUGGGCGUAAAGAGCUCGUAGGCGGUUUGGCAAGUCGGGUGUGAAAACUCCGGGCUCAACUCGGAGACGCCACUCGAUACUGCCAUGACUCGAGUCCGGUAGGGGAGUGCGGAAUUCCUGGUGUAGCGGUGAAAUGCGCAGAUAUCAGGAGGAACACCAAUGGCGAAGGCAGCUCGCUGGGACGUGACUGACGCUGGAGACGCGAAAGCGUGGGGAGCAAACAGG
rnacentral:rRNA from 1 species